GCGGGAGGCCGGGCCGGGACACAAGCCCGCCGGCGGCCGCGGCUCCUCCCCGCCCCGCGCGCCCCGAUUGGCCUGGCCGCGCGCCAGGGCCGAGCCUGCAGCGCCUCCGGUUAUAAGUUGAAGAAAUAAGACCAGUUUCCAAAUAAAUGACAAAGAGCUUGGUAUUCCUGCAGGCAUCAGAAUCACCUGGAGGAGGAGAUGCUGCUGCUGGUGGUGGCCCAGAGACCACACAUUGAGAACCACUGCUCUAGAAAACCAUUUGUCUUUGCUGAUGGAGAAACCUGGCUCUAAUAGAAGGUAACUGAGGAGGAAAGGAGUUGCUUGACUUCAAGGCUAUCCAUCAAAAGAUCACAAUGAGUUAUACAGUAUUCAGCUAUGUAUCUCUGAAAUCAGCCAAGCUCUUUUACAUAAGAAUUUUGCAAUUUCCUGAUUAAUUCAGGAUAUAUGUUAAAUUCCUAAAUUGAGCAAUAUGAAUUUUUAGGUGGUUUUGUUGUUGAUGGUAAUGGUUUGAUGUUUAAGACAGUUGCUGCUUAUCUUGACAAACCAUGAACUCUCAAAAUGUUUCCCAAGGGAAGGGCUCCAUAGAGAAGAAAGGAAGCCAUUAUUUCCUCUAUGUCAAAAUGAAAUGUUCAGACCUCUGAAACCUAAAUAAAUGAAUAAAUAUAAAAGCAUAGAUGAGAUCAGCCUUCAAAUCUACAAAGACAAAAUAAUCAAAAAAAGGUGUAAAUUACAAUGGUAAUAAGAGAAUUUAAGAAUAUAUAUAAAUUAUUUUAACAGAGAAACUGUGUUCCUCCAGGGCCUGUAGUUCAAAAUUUUGUAAUGCACAAUGAUCCAUCCCCAAAAAAUGGAAUAUUGAUUCAGACCCUAGGACUGCAAUGUUUAAACCAGUGGUUCUCACCUGUUAGUGAGCAUUAGAAUUACAUGGAAAGUUUAAUAAUAAAGACAGAUUUGGGGGUCCCCCUCCCCCUCAGAGUAUGUGAAUCAGUAGAUCUCAGUGGACUCAGGAAUUUGUAGUUCAAACAAUUCCCAGAUGAUGCUGAUGCUGGAUAUGUGGGACCAUACUUUAGGAAUUGCUGUUUUUGCUCUAUGGUUCACAACUUGGCCACAUACUAGAAUUAUCUGGGGAGCUUGCUUUUUUAAUUUCAAUUCAUAGGCCACACCUCAAAACAAUUAAAAUUACAAUCUCUUGGGGUGUGAACCCAGGCAUCAGUAGUUUUUGAAGUUCUCAGGUGUCUCCCAUGUGCAGCCAAACUGGAGAAUUUCUACUUAUGUUAGUAGUUGUCAGACUUCAGCACACAUUACCUGAAGGACUAUUAAAAUACAGAUUGCUGGGCCCCUCUCAUGGAGUUUCUGAUUCUGUAAGUCUGGGUUGGGCCCAAAAAUUCGCAUUUCAAUCAAGUUCCCAGAUGAUGCAGUCAGUCCUGGGACCAUACUUGGAGAACCACUGGGUAAGACCAACUUCAACCCUGGCUGUAUUUGGAAUCUACUGGGGAGCUGGCAAAAAAAUACUGAAGUUGACUCCAUUCUCAAAAACAAAAGAAAACCAGAUUGGGAUAUAAUUAGUUUGGGUUGGGGUCUGGCAUAAGUAUGUUUUUAAAGCUUCCCAGGUGAUUCUAAUAUGCAGCCAAGACCUGGAAUCACUGCAAAAUCAAGCAAGGUGAAGACGCAGUAAAUGUAUCACCUGUCAUGUUUGCUUGUCAUCUGAAUUUAAAAUGACCUAUUCUAACCAGAAUAUAUUUCAACCACUACAUGCAGUAUCUUUAUUGAAAAAAUAUACUACAUUGAAAUAAAUGUAAGAUCAUGAGGGUCAUUUCUGAAUUUAAGAAAGGGCCAGGCACAGUGGCUCAUGUCUGUAAUCCCAGCUACUCAGGAGGCUGAGGUGGGAGGAUCGCUUUAGUCCAAGGAUUCAAGGUUAUUGUGAGCUAUGUUUGUACCACUGCACUCCAGCCUGGGCAACAGAGCAAGACCCUAUCUCAGAAAGAAAAGGAAGGGAAAAGGAAGGAAAGGAAAAGACUAGGUUAAGCCAGGAGGGGAUUCUCCCUACCCCUUUUAUUGCUAUAAAUGCAACAUACCGUCUGAAUUUUUUUUUAAUGUUACAUGGUAACCCACCCCUUUGGUGAUCUGCAGCCAAUCAUGUAAACAGAAACAUUAUAACUGUUAUUAUAAAAGUAGUUUCCUAUAAAUGAGAAAUUACGCUUAUAUCUAAAUAAACUUGAAACCUGAUCAAACACCCUAGCCCCAAGAAAAUAACUCUGGGUUUGGACAACACAACCUAGAGUAACGUUUUACUGCCACUUGAUGUUUCUGAACAUACAGGGUCAUUUUUAAUCACGUAGUAUGGAAAUAAGUUGUCUGCUACAGACAGUAAAAGCUGAGAUUUGGGAGUGGAGUUGGGGUGUGGGCAGGGAGAGUAUCAAAAGGAGUUGGCUUUUAACUGGGGCUUUCUUGGACAGCUCUAUGAUAUCAGUUAGAUACAUGUUUGUAAGUAAUUAUUUCUACUUCAGUUUUCACAGAAAAUAGUGAUACUAUUGUGUUUUGGCAGCUGAUUUAGUAAAUUGCCAUUCAUGACCCUGCUAGAAUAUACUAUGCAAGGUCCACUUCUUAUGCCUCAGAAAUUUAGCACUGGAAAAGAACUUAGGGCUCAUCAAAUCUCCUAAUUUUAUAGUUUAGGACUGACUUUACACCCACUAGAGUGGCUAUAACCAAAAAGACAAACAAUAGCAAAUAUUGGUGGGAAGCUGGAGAAAAACUAAAAUCUCAUGACUGGGAAUUUAUUGCCAAUUUGGAAGCAGUUUGGCAGUUUCCUUAGAAGUUAAACAUAAAUUUACCAUCAACUGAGCAAUUCUGCUCCUAAGUUAUCUAUUUACCCAAGAGAAAUGAAAACAUGUUCACACGUUUACAUGUUCAUACAUGCUGCAUGUAAAUGUUCAUAGCAGCAUUAUUCAUAGUGGCCAAAAGGUGGAAACAAUUCAAAUGUCCAUCAACUGAUGAAUGGAUAAACAAAAUGUGUUUAUACCCAGCAAUAAAAAGGGAAAACUGAGGAUACAUGCCACAACCUGGAUGAACCGUGAAAACAUGCUGAAAGAAACCAGACACAAACGAUGACAUAUAUGAUUCCAUUUAUAUGAAAUGUCUAAAAUAGGCAAAUCUGAAAGAGACAGAAAAUAGAUUAGUAGUUGCUUAGAACUAGGGAAUGGGAGAGGUUAGCAUUACGGGGGAUUUGAGGACGAAAAUGUUCUAAAAUUGGUGAUGGUUGCACGUAUCUGUAAAUAUGCUAAAAACCGUUGAAUCACACACUGUUAAAAAUAUUUUUAUUUAUGUAUUUAUUUAUUUUUGAGGCGGAGUCUCACUCUGUCACCAGGCUGGAGUGCGGUGGCGCAAUCUCAGCGCACUGCAACCUCCGCCUCCCGGGUUCAAGCAACUCUCCUGCCUCAGCCUCCCGAAUAGCUGGAAUUACACAUGCGCACCACCACGCCCGGCUAAUUUUUGUAUUUUAGUAGAGACUGGGUUUCCCCAUGUUGGUCAGGCU
ensembl:lncRNA LINC01607 long intergenic non-protein coding RNA 1607